rnacentral:rRNA from 1 species
CGCCAGACUCCUACGGGAGGCAGCAGUGGGGAAUAUUGCACAAUGGGGGAAACCCUGAUGCAGCGACGCCGCGUGAGUGAAGAAGUAUUUCGGUAUGUAAAGCUCUAUCAGCAGGGAAGAAAAUGACGGUACCUGAUUAAGAAGCCCCGGCUAACUACGUGCCAGCAGCCGCGGUAAUACGGAGGAUGCGAGCGUUAUCCGGAUUUAUUGGGUUUAAAGGGUGCGUAGGCGGAAUGCCAAGUCAGCGGUAAAAGCGCGGGGCUCAACCUCGCGCCGCCGUUGAAACUGGCGUUCUUGAGUGGGCGAGAAGUAUGCGGAAUGCGUGGUGUAGCGGUGAAAUGCAUAGAUAUCACGCAGAACUCCGAUUGCGAAGGCAGCAUACCGGCGCCCAACUGACGCUGAAGCACGAAAGCGUGGGUAUCGAACAGGAUUAGAUACCCUAGUAUA